GUCCUAAGGUAGCGAAAUUCCUUGUCGGGUAAGUUCCGACCUGCACGAAUGGCGUAACGACUUCCCCACUGUCUCCAGGACAUGCUCAGCGAAAUUGAAUUCUCCGUGAAGAUGCGGAGUACCAACGGCUAGACGGUAAGACCCCGUGCACCUUAACUAUAGCUUCGCAGUGACAACCUUGAUCAAAUGUGUAGGAUAGGUGGGAGGCUUUGAAGCGUGGUCGCCAGAUCACGUGGAGCCAUCCUUGAAAUACCACCCUGGUUUGUUUGCGGUUCUAACCUUGGUCCGUUAUCCGGAUCGGGGACAGUGCAUGGUGGGCAGUUUGACUGGGGCGGUCUCCUCCUAAAGCGUAACGGAGGAGUUCGAAGGUACGCUAGGUACGGUCGGAAAUCGUGCUGAUAGUGCAAUGGCAUAAGCGUGCUUGACUGUGAGACUGACACGUCGAACAGGUGCGAAAGCAGGACAUAGUGAUCCGGUGGUUCUGAAUGGAAGGGCCAUCGCUCAACGGAUAAAAGGUACUCUGGGGAUAACAGGCUGAUACCGCCCAAGAGUUCAUAUCGACGGCGGUGUUUGGCACCUCGAUGUCGGCUCAUCUCAUCCUGGGGCUGUAGCCGGUCCCAAGGGUAUGGCUGUUCGCCAUUUAAAGAGGUACGUGAGCUGGGUUUAAAACGUCGUGAGACAGUUUGGUCCCUAUCUGCCGUGGGCGUUGGAUACUUGACGGAGCCUGCUCCUAGUACGAGAGGACCGGAGUGGACGUACCUCUGGUGUACCGGUUGUCAUGCCAAUGGCAUUGCCGGGUAGCUAAGUACGGAAGAGAUAACCGCUGAAGGCAUCUAAGCGGGAAACUCGUCUGAAGAUUAGGUAUCCCGGGGCCUAGAGCCCCCUGAAGGGUCGUUCGAGACCAGGACGUUGAUAGGUCGGGUGUGGAAGCGCAGUAAUGCGUUAAGCUAACCGAUACUAAUUGCCCGUGCGGCUUGAUCCU
rnacentral:ncRNA from 2 species